rnacentral:misc_RNA from 1 species
AUCUGGUGCAUUUCAAUCAAUGGAUACUAUAGAUAGCAUUGAUUUCAUGGUAUCUCAACAACAGAUAAAUUUAGAAAAUGUAGAAAAUUGUAAUGAUGAUGUUGAAAUUUUGACAUCUUUUAAAGCAACUAUGAGAUCUCGAGCUCAUUUUGAGGUUGGAAGUUCCCAUAUACAUAAGAAGGCUAACAAUAAACCUAAAGAAAUCUUACUUUACUUUUCCUCAUCACAGUGGUACUUCUGUUUUCUUCUAUGGCUGUGUUCAUUGUUGAUGGGUAGGGGUUGAUCAGCGACGGUUGCUUUCUGAUUUAAAGCUAGGAGAUGCUGUGGAUCCAUGGGUCAUCCUUUAGUUGCGUGGUACUCUUGGAGACAUUACCGGUGUCACUCUCAUCGGCAUCCAAUCCCUCAGAACCCGAAGAUGCUUAAAGGAGCUCUGCCUUGCGCCCAUGUGGUCCAUUAGCUUCAGAUUCAGACUUUAACCUUGGCUUUGUGUUCUUUUCAGUGAUGUGUGUGGGUCUUUUGGGUUGCUCUUUACUGAGGGUGUUCAUGAGUCUGGAAUCACUGAGUUUGGCAUUGGAUGAUUCCCUUGUGUUGCGUUGAUUGUCUUUCACUGCUCCGGGAUGGCUCAGCUGGAUUGCCGGUGCUGAGGAUAGCGGCAUUGGUCUCCCUGGCAUUCAGACCUUCUUCUUGGGUCAAGCCAGAGACUAGGGUGCUUUUUGGGCCUUAGCCCACUUUCGUUCUGGCUGAGGCAAUCUCUUAGGGCUUUUUAUAUAUGUGCAGGCCUUGGUCCUUAGUUGUGGUUUUGUUCUAUGAUUUUUUAGCAUGUUAGGGUAUGUUUGGGUCUGCCCUUUUCUAGCUGGACACUCUUACGGUGUAAUAGGCCUCAGAUUUUUUCU